rnacentral:rRNA from 1 species
UACGGAGGAUGCAAGCGUUAUCCGGAAUUAUUGGGCGUAAAGCGUGCGCAGGUGGCACUGCAAGUCUGAUGUCAAAGACCGGGGCUUAACCCUGGAAAGGCAGUGGAAACUGAAGCGCUAGAGUGUGGCAGGGGUAGAGGGAAUUCCCGGUGUAGCAGUGAAAUGCGUAGAGAUCGGGAAGAACAUCGGUGGCGAAAGCGCUCUACUGGGCCAUAACUGACACUCAUGGACGAAAGCUUGGGGAGCAAAUGGG